rnacentral:lncRNA from 1 species
CCCCCUCGGCUGCCUGCCGGGCUGCGCACCUGGGCGCGCGGCGCUGGAAGCCUCGCGGGUCGCCGCGCCAUGGCCUUCACCUUCGCCGCCUUCUGCUACAUGCUGGCCCUCGUGCUGUGCGCCGCGCUCAUCUUCUUCGCCAUCUGGCACCAGGGAAGCCGGGCCAGGCCGUGUAGGGAAUCGAGCCUUGACGUUGGCUGCUGUUGAGGAGAAGUGGAACUUUACCCACUUUAGAAUAAAAGGGUUGCAGGUCACAGUCCAGUUCCCCAGGCUUAGUCCUGCUUCCCUCGCCCGGCCGCGCUUUCGCUCAGAAACAGCCAGACUCACGGCACUGAUUUGCCUCCUGAGCCUUGAGAAGGGAAAUUGCAGUCGUACGGACUUCCGAGUGCACGUGUGUGUGGGUGUUGGCUGCACGGUGCGACCACCUUUGAGUGCAUUUGUCACGCUUGGAAGGAGCAGAAUAACACUGCGUUUCUCACCGGUGGCUCCGCACACCUUCUGUGCCUGGGCUCUUACCUCCAUGUGGCAAUUUGGUCCUCAGAACGGAUGUUUUUCAGAAGAGGAAGUUGCGGAUCACAGAGGUUAUAACACGAGCACAGCAGCACAGCGCCUGGCAUGUGAGACUCCCGCCCCAGCCCCUCUUCCAGCAGCAGUCGCUGUUUCUGGAUUCUUUGACUUUGAUGAUGGUCUCUAUCCAAAGGGUUACUUAUUUUCUAUAUAUUUUUGUGUUGGAAUUUCUGAUUGGAGUUAUAUGACUAAUCAGACUGGAAACAUUGCAUAUUCUUUUUAAAAAGAGGGAUUUCUGUUUCUUUUUUAAAAGUAGGCUUCUGUUUGUAAAAUGAUGCAGGUUCAUUGCUAUGCUUUUGGAAAAUGCAAUGCCACAUAAUGAAAGGAAAUCAGUCUUACCUUCCGGAGGGUCUGGGUGCCUGGGUGCACUUUAGAACAUGGAGCGUGGCUGUGCAUGAGGAGAGGAGAGGGCUGCAGAGGUCUGACUCGAUUCAGGGCCGGUGUGCAGGAGCAGCGUCUGCUCUGCUGGGAGCUGCGGCCGGAGUGGACCUGGUGCCACCAUCUCCUUAGCAGCUGGGACCAGCCCAUGCUGUGGAAGAUCAAACUCAGGCUGUUCAUAUUUAAGGGGCUGGGUUUUUAAGGUUUUUGUAUCUAGAGUCACACUGAGUUCUGGCAGUUUACAAAUAAAACUCAUGUCCAGUUAAAGAUUCCAUGUGCACCUCCUCUUGAAAUUGCCUUGGACAGCAGCGUUUGCCACUGGGGCAGUCUUCAUGGUGAGGAAUCUGUCUCACAGAGGGCUGCUGGGAACCUGGGGAGCAUGCAGGUCCUCAGGGAGCCCCCGAGGAGACCAGUGUCAGG